GACAGAGGGUGCAAACGUUGUUCGGAAUUAUUGGGCGUAAAGAGCUCGUAGGCGGCUUGUCACGUCGGGUGUGAAAGCCCGGGGCUUAACCCCGGGUCUGCAUUCGAUACGGGCUAGCUAGAGUGUGGUAGGGGAGAUCGGAAUUCCUGGUGUAGCGGUGAAAUGCGCAGAUAUCAGGAGGAACACCAGAGGCGAAAGCGGCGCUCUGGGCUGCACCUGACGCUGAACUGCGAAAGCCAGGGGAGCGAACGGG
rnacentral:rRNA from 1 species